GAAUUUAUAGAAAUCAUUUCACUGUCAAUAAAUUGUGCUUUUAAUUAGUGAAAUCGGUAAGAACGGGUGGUACCGGUCUAUGGCUUGCGUCGGAUCUCCCCAUUCCUAAAGAGAGAGAAGACUGGCAUAAACCGACGGCGUCACUGUCCUCGAGAGGAGGACAGAUCGAAGUAACGACAACGAUAGUCUGACAGUCCAACGACGGCGUUUCAGGAGUUGUUUGUCGGCUUGUCGGAACCCCUCUCCGCCUAAACAAAGCAUCCUCUCCCUCCUCCCAGCCUGUAGCAAUUGCCAACUUUAGGAGUUUCGAUCUGUUCAACCAUUUGCCGUUGAAAAAGCUCCGUACCAGAGCUCACGCGUUAAAAGACAGUCACAGUGCUAUAGUAAGCAACGCUAGCUGAGCGUGUCCGUAUUGCCGAAGAAAGAAGCAGAGAUCAAGCCGUCAGAGUUUGCCGGGUACACAGCUCCCUCCCUUUCACCCUCUUCCUCAGGACACCUUUGAUCUACAUGGUGGCAAUGUUUUCUCUUCGUUGGGCUUCCCUACUUACAGCGUUCACUACAGAUCGUUGGUCAAAUACCUUAUAAAUCAUCGUCACUCGCUCUUUUCUCCUUCGGUUCUCCUUCAAACUUUCAGAGCCUAGGAAACGUCCUCAUUUCUCUCCCUGAUCUCUCUCUCACUUUUUUUUUUCUUUCUCGGCACCCUCCUGAUUUCUCUCUCAUUUCCAAUUUAAGCGAACUUCGGACUCUUCUAUCUAGCUACUCUUUACCUCUCAUCAUACAUAUAUAGACGUUAUCCAUUUAUCAUUGAUUUUUUUUUUGUUUCCCUGCAUCCAAGCCAGUAACAUUCUACGAGUUUUCCAGACGAACCA